GCCAGUUUAGCUCAGUUGGUAGAGCAGAUGAUUUGUAAUCAUCAGGUCGUCGGUUCGAGUCCGACAACUGGCUCCA
rnacentral:tRNA from 1 species